GGGGCUGACGCUGAGCUGGGGGCCCCGGAGCCGCAGACGGGGGGUCGGGCAUCGUCGGAGUCGGUGGGGAUGACGACUGACUUCGACUGCCCGACAGCCCCUGGGGCCUUCAUCCCUACAUCCUCGGACAGCCUCAGCC
rnacentral:pre_miRNA from 1 species